UUUAGUGGAAAGGGGGGAGGGACUGACAAGUUGUCGAUGUUCAAAUUUUUUGGUUAAGUCCUGGAUCUUCACAAUCCCACCUAUGGCACCUUUAAAAUAAAAAAUGUUCUUAUU